rnacentral:rRNA from 1 species
UGAGUACACGUGAGCAAUGUGCCCUUGACUCUGGAAUAAGCGCUGGAAACGGCGUCUAAUACCGGAUACGACCUUCGGAGGCAUCUCCUGGGGGUGGAAAGAACUUCGGUCAAGGAUCAGCUCACGGCCUAUCAGUUAGUUGGUGAGGUAAUGGCUCACCAAGACGACGACGGGUAGCCGGCCUGAGAGGGUGACCGGCCACACUGGGACUGAGACACGGCCCAGACUCCUACGGGAGGCAGCAGUGGGGAAUAUUGCACAAUGGGCGCAAGCCUGAUGCAGCAACGCCGCGUGAGGGACGACGGCCUUCGGGUUGUAAACCUCUUUUAGCAGGGAAGAAGCGAAAGUGACGGUACCUGCAGAAAAAGCACCGGCUAACUACGUGCCAGCAGCCGCGGUAAUACGUAGGGUGCAAGCGUUGUCCGGAAUUAUUGGGCGUAAAGAGCUCGUAGGCGGUUUGUCACGUCUGCUGUGAAAUCCCGAGGCUCAACCUCGGGCUUGCAGUGGGUACGGGCAGACUAGAGUGCGGUAGGGGAGAUUGGAAUUCCUGGUGUAGCGGUGGAAUGCGCAGAUAUCAGGAGGAACACCGAUGGCGAAGGCAGAUCUCUGGGCCGUAACUGACGCUGAGGAGCGAAAGCAUGGGGAGCAAACAGGCUUAGAUACCCUGGUAGUCCAUGCCGUAAACGUUGGGAACUAGAUGUGGGGACCAUUCCACGGUCUCCGUGUCGUAGCUAACGCAUUAAGUUCCCCGCCUGGGGAGUACGGCCGCAAGGCUAAAACUCAAAGGAAUUGACGGGGGCCCGCACAAGCGGCGGAGCAUGCGGAUUAAUUCGAUGCAACGCGAAGAACCUUACCAAGGCUUGACAUAUACGAGAACGCACUGAAGACAGUGAACUCUUUGGACACUCGUAUACAGGUGGGGGCAUGGGUUGCCGUCCAGCUCCGUGCCGGGAGAAUGUUGGGGUUAAAGUCCCCGCAACGAGCGCAACCCUCUUCCUAUGUUGACAGCACGUAAUGGUGGGAACUCAUGUGAUACUGCCGGGGUCAACUCGGAGGAAGGUGGGGAUGAGGUCAAAUCAUGCAUGCACUCCUUAUGAUCUGUGGGCUUCAGCGCAUGCGUACAAUGGCCGGUAUCAAUGGGCUGCAAGUCACGCAGUGAAGAGUGGAGCCGAAUACCAAAAAGCCGGUGCUCAGUUGAGGUAUUGAGGUCUGCAACUCGACCUCAUGAAGUCGGAGUCGUGUAGUAAUCGUAGAUCA